ensembl:lncRNA
GAAGCGAUUGAAAUAGAUGGAAAUCAGUUUGCUCUGCUUUCUCAGGUUCUCUGCAGACCCCGAGAAGAAUGCGUGUCACGUUUGUAGAGCUGCCAUAACAAUCAUGGGGAAGAGACAUCUGGAGCAGCCUUAAUGAGGAGCAGAUCUCUGACUGCGGUGUCUAUAAACAAGUUGGCGAUGAGCAUGUUGGCAGCAGAAAGCUGAAUCAGCUAAGGACUGGUCCAGACUUUGAACCAUGUAAGUCUGAGACUGAUCUUCCCUUAGAAGAGGCUCCACUGGCCUCAGCUUAUUGUAAACUCUUUGGACAAGGAUGUGUAUUUGGACAGCAUCCAGCGUGGUGGGACCUUCUCUUGAAGCAUUGCCACUGUGAAAACAGUACACAAUAGCCAUCGUAUGCAACAUAUGGAAAGUUGUGAUAAGAAUGUCUUUCAAGCCUCU